GAUGAACGCUGGCGGCGUGCCUAAUACAUGCAAGUCGAGCGAACAGACGAGGAGCUUGCUCCGCUGACGUUAGCGGCGGACGGGUGAGUAACACGUGUAUAACCUACCUAUAAGACUGGGAUAACUUCGGGAAACCGGAGCUAAUACCGUAUAAUAUAUUGAACCGCAUUGUUCAAUAGUGAGAGACGGUGUUGCUGUCACUUAUAGAUGGAUCCGCGCCGCAUUAGCUAGUUGUUAAGUUAACGGCCUACCAAGGCAACGAGGCGUAGCCGACCUGAGGGGGUGGUCGGCCACACUGGAAGUGAGACACGGUCCAGACUACUACGGUAGGCAGCAGUAGGCAAUCGUCCGCAACAGGCGAAAGCAUGACGGAGCAACGCCGAGUGAGUGAUGACGGUCUUCCGAUCGUAAAAAUCUGUUAUUAGGGGAGAACAAAUGUCUACGUAGCUAUGCACGUAUUGACGGUACCUAAUCAGAAAGCCACGGCUAACUACGUG
rnacentral:rRNA from 1 species